AGAAGUCAAGGAACUCUGGGAGGAAUGUCAGGAAUUCUUCAAACAGACCUUCAAAGCAACCUUUGCUACCAUUGGCUGUCUCUGUACCUCUGCACAAUACUGAAGAGCUUGAGACUGCAGAGGAGAUUUUUACAAUCCAGUGAAGCAAAGCAAAUGAUAGUGAGACACUUUAGCAUAAUUGGAGGAACCUAACUGGAAAUGAGGGUCCAUCGCAUGCUUUCCUGUGCACUGACCAAUGAGCUGGCAUUAUCAAUCAAUUGGGCUGGGAAGAUGGUUAAAGAGCAGUCAAGGCAAAAGAGGGCAUUCAAGGAUACUUUCUUGAAUAUGGGUAUAUUUGAUGCUUUGACUUUGCAGAUGGGUGUGGGAAAAGUUUCCCAAUAUGAAAACAUUCAGGCAGACCAGAAAUGGCUCCGAUAUGCACCGUAAAGUAUGGGCGGAACUGUACAUCAAACAACUACAACUGUUCCUUUGGUGCCUCCAGAAACGAAUUAAUUUUGUCCUCUUUUUUUUUUUUUCACGACAUAAUAUGAAGUGCUUUCAGUUGAUUGAA